rnacentral:lncRNA from 12 species
GUUUGGUUGUGUGAGGAACGUGGAGUUUGGCCAAAUGGAACAGCAGGAGCAGCACAGCCCUUGGAUUUCUAUAGGCUGCAGCAAGGUGAGAUCCUUGGAAAACUGACUGCCCAGAGCUCUGGAGCUUUCAGCCUUCACGCUAACGCACGGGCCCAGCUGGCUGGAGAUUAAAGAGCACAGUUGAAAACCAAAAAGCAUUUGAAAUUGCACCACUGAGCUGGCAGGAAAUUCCAGCUUUUUGUAGAUGUCGGAGGCGUUGGAACGGCGAGGAACCAGAAGCAAGAGCAGAUCAAACCCUGCCAGCAUGAGCGGUGGAGAACAGAAUCUGCAUUGACGACAGAUGGAACGAAUGUUAUGGAUGCAUCCCAGGCCCUGAGCUGUUGUGCCACAUAAAUCAGAAGUAAAACUUUGCCAACUUAGAAUGCUUCACAGGACUAGACUAUCAGCCAGCUUAAUGUCUGGCUCUG